rnacentral:misc_RNA from 1 species
GAUGAAGAACGUAGCGAAAUGCGAUAAGUAAUGCGAAUUGCAGAAUCCGUGAGUCAUCGAAUCUUUGAACGCACAUUGCGCCCUCUGGUAUUCCGGAGGGCAUGCCUGUUCGAGCGUCAUUAUCACCCCUCAAGCCCGGCUUGUUGUUGGAUGCAGCACUUAUCCCGCUCCUCCCAAAGAUAAUGACGGCGUCUGCGACGACUCCUGUACACUGAGCUUUCGGGCACGUACACGGCUAGAAGUCCAGACCCGGUCGCCGUCCCCCCGCGGGGACACCCAUUACCACAAGGUUGACCUCGGAUCAGGUAGGAAUACCCGCUGAACUUAAGCAUAUCAAUAAGCGGAGGA